UGCGCUGGGCCGGCUUGAGGGUGGCUGGCGUGACUGGGCCAGGCCGUCGAGUUGCCGCCCGAGGCGCCUGCGUGAGGAUGACCAGCCCGUGGGCGUUGGCGCUGACCCCUCAGGCGCCGCUGGCGGCCCCGCGCGCGGCCCUCCCCCCGACCCGCCCCUCCCGGGGUUCCUCCCGAUCCGCGCGGCGUCGCGCUUCCGCGUUGACCGCUGUCUUCGCUUUCGGGCUGUGUUGACCGCAAACGCCGCGCAGUCCGUGGUGGCGGCGAGGCACCUUUCUCGUGCCUUUACCUGUGUUCACGCUUUGUUUUAAAAAAUAGCCCUAGAAGUACACGUCGCUGGCCCCGAAGGAGCCCCAACAGCCAUGUCGGACCGCGAGGUGACCUCGGAGGGCGGGAGGACGGCCGAGGGGCCUGGCGGAGCUAGACUGAGAGGGCCCCGCCGCGUCCUGAAGGCCCUGCUCCCCGAAUGCGUGGGGGUGUGUCUGACGGUGCGAGCGUGGCCGUGGCCGUGCCCCCAUGCCGCCCGCCUGUUAGCUGAGUGAGGCAGGAGUGUCCGAGUCUGCGAACGUCAGCAGUUCUUGUUCCAGAGCUCCGCACGAGGCGGGCCAAAGCUUUGCGGGACCUGCAUACCCUUCUUCCUCCGUCCAGUCCUGCUUCCGUCCCCUUCCUUUCACAGGUGUUGAUACCAUGUGAGCAUCCUCCUACCGCACACUCCGUGGCAGCAUCUGCUUCUGGAGAAACCAUUCUGCAACAUUAAAGCUGUGUCUGAGGCCUCGGCUGGAGCAGCUCAGAGGCUAGAGGUUGGAGUGAGUGAAGGUUCAUCUGCUCGAAUGUCUGACAGCUGAUACUGGAGAUUGGCUGCAGCCCAGAUUGGGAUGUCAGCCAGCGCACCCCUACGUGGCCAGUCCCUGUGGCCGAGGCUUCCUCACUGUAUGAUGGCUGGAUUCCAAGGGCAAUCUAAAGACAAAGGACAAAAGAAAGCUGUAUCCUUUUUGUGAACCACGCUCAGAAGUUACAUACCAUCACUGCGGCUACUUCCUGUUUGGAAGAAGUGAGUCACUAAAUCACCCAUAUUCAAAGGGAGAGGAAUUAGGCUUCAACUUCUAAAGGGAAGAAUAUCAAAAAAUUUGCCAAUAUAUUUUUAAAACACCACACUUGGAAAAAACCAUGGGCCAUGGUAAGCAAAAUUGAAACGGCAAAAUUGCUAUGGCAGACAGUGGUGGAAGGCAGUAAAAGGUUAAGGAGUGUGGCAUGCUGAAAUUUAUCUACUCCGUGCGUCUAGAAGACAUUCCAGAUGAUCAUUUUCCACAUGAAGGUGUAAAUAACACAUCAUUUACAAAGAUCAUUAGACAUAGGAUGAUGAAAGGGACACUGAUGUCACUAAUAUAUUCGGUGAUGGCUCAUCUCUGUAGGCGAGAAUGACAAUAGAAAGGCUGUUCCAGAACUUGGCUGGGUGAUAGUAUUGGGGAUGAUGGGAUCCUAAGACAAAAGAGGAAAAGAGGCCAUUCUGGGACAUAAUGGGGACCAAAAAAAAA